AACAAAGUGACUGAGAUGAAUCCUUUUAAUAUGUAUUAAUUAGUAUGCGUUAGACCUGAAAAUGUGUAUUUAAAAGUGGGGCUUUAGCCUUUAACAAAAUUGUGAUGUCGCGAAAACACCGUGGGCAGCUACUCUUCAAAAUGGCGAUUAAUGUCAUACGAAGAGCAAUUUAUCUGUCGAUUUUUGUAUUGCUUGUAGUUAUAAUCAAUAAAUGGGUAAUUUUUCAAAUAGAAGAUUCCGUAGUAAAAGCAAAGCUUUUAAGAUUCCAGUUUUCUUGCUGCAUUAUCACGAUGAUGACUUUUAUUAACUGUUAUAUAUGGAGGAACUUGUCAACAGUAUUAGAUUUCGGACACAGUUAUUCGGACAACAAGGAAUGGACAUUUUUAAUUAACCUUGCAGAAUUUCGCAAUUGGAAGCAGUAUACUGUAAAUUCGGCAUUGUGGAGAUUAUAUUUGUCUGUGAUACUCGUUUCUUCGUUAUUUUCAUAUACAACAUUUUCUUUUAUGAUCAGAACUAACCCAUUGAAAGUGUCAAUAUUUUUGUUUUUGUGCUUUGCAAUGACUGUCCAGUUAUUUUGUGGUCUCGUCAUUACUAAAUUAGCCACAUUGGUAUGGAGAUUUUGUCAUAGAGAUUUUAGUUAUCACACUGAACGUCAAAAUAAAACUAAGCAGUUUGUUAUACUUGCAUAUUCAUUGAUUGUGGUCACCGUUGGAUUUUACAAUGCAAUGAAGCUCCCUGAUAUAAAAGAAGUUACAAUACCAGUGAAAGACAUGCCAAAGUCGUUAAAUAGAAUGACCAUAACAUUUGUAUCCGACAUUCAUCUUGGACCAACUACUGGACAGCAAUCCCUGGAGAGGAUAGUGAAUAUGAUAAAUUACCUCAACUCAGAUCUUGUGAUAAUCGGAGGUGACCUUGUUGACGGCCGUGUCAGCCAGCUGGAGGAUGCAGUGGAGUCCUUGAGCUGGAUUAAGGCCAGAUACGGGCAAUACUUUGUGACAGGGAACCACGAAUAUUACACCACAGACGCACAUAACUGGAUAAAAAAGCUCAAGAGCCUUGGCAUUGAAACUCUUCAUAACUCAAACGUGAAGAUAUCUGCCCCCGGCUCCAAUGAUGCCAUAUGUCUUGCUGGAGUUGAUGACCCAACUGCCGAUCUCUAUGGGUUUAUGGACCACACGAUGGACCUGGACUCAGCCCUGAGGACCUGUGACCCCUCACAGUCAGUAGUACUGAUAGCACACCAGCCCAAGGUGGCCAAGAUAGCCCUUGACUCCAAGUACAGAGUGGACCUGGUGUUGUCAGGUCACACACAUGGUGGUCAAAUGUUCCCCUUGAUGCUUGGUGCCUAUCUUCUCAACCCAUUCUAUGCUGGCCUAUAUCGUCAUGGUGACCAAGCUCAUGUUUACGUCUCUAUGGGAACAAGGUUUUGGGGUUUCCCAGUCAGGUUUGGAACAAGUUCAGAAAUAUCACAUAUCACAUUAGUCUCAACGUAAAUAUCACACAAUUUCACAAGUUUCCGGUUCAUAAGAUACUUUGUUAAUUUAUUUCUUGUUUUUGUUACUAGAGUUUGUGAUUUGGAAUGUUUUAAUAAUUGACAAUCUUGUAUGAUAUGCAUUAAAGCCUCCAAUUCUUCAUUGGACUAGAAAUAUGUUGAUUUUUAACAAUUUAACUAUAGGUAGUUUUGUAGACAGUAAACCGUUCGUAAAUUAAUAUUGUCACAUGCUACAUAUUGUAAUUAUUUUAAAUUACCAUUACAAAUAUUGUUAUCUAAAACAUGUGUAAUGUAUCUAUUUAAUUGUUUUAAUUGGCUUCUUUUUCUUUUGCUGAACAAUCAUGUUGAACAAUCAUGUUAUGUUUUUACUCUAUAGUGACAUUUAAACAUAAGAUGAUAUCACUUAACGUAAACAACUUUAAAAUUAUGUGAUAAGAAAGUUCUGACACCCGUCAUUUCAUAUAAUGUUUUAUUAAAUUCAUAUUGACAUUGCCAAAGGCUCACUUGUUAACAAAAUUCCUUAAAUCGUUUAAUAUAUAUGGUAUUAACUUGUACCAGAUCCUAUGUUUACUUAUUUAUGCUUAACUGUUAACUUUGAUGGUGUAUUUAGUUAAUGUUUAUUUAUCAGAUAAUUAGGCUAAAAUAAUAGUUAGAAAAUGCAUGCUGCUUAAUAUGUAUUAAUGACAUGCACAAUAAACCAAGUGAUCAGUGAUGAUUAAGGGCACAACAAACUCAGUACGUUAUUUUGAUGUUUUAGAUAUUUUCACUGAAUUUGUGAUUUAUUUUAAUGCCCCCCUUCGAAGAAGAGUGGGUAUAUUGUCCACCAGAUGGUUUCCGGAUGAUAACUCAAGAACGCUUAUGCCUAGGAUCAUGAAACUUCAUAGGUACAUUGAUCAUGACUGGCAGAUGACCCCUAUUGAUUUUCAGGUUACGAGGUCAAAGGUCAAGGUCACAGUGACAAAAAUCGUAUUCACUCAAUGGCUGUCACUACAACUAACAGCCCAUAUGGGGGGCAUGCAUGUUUUACAAACAGCCCUUGUUCCUAUUAACAUCUUUCAAUAAAUUGAAACCUUCUUAGACUAUACCAUCUGACUUCGUGUUACAUGAAGUCAUAAAAAAUUAAUGGAAACCAAUACUGUAUGAAAAAAAUUUGAGCCUCGUUCUGUGAAAACUUGGCUUAUUGCAUAUUUAUAGUGUCGUCACAGAUAAGCCAAAUUUUAUUCAUACCCAAAUUCUUUUUUGUACCAUAAUUUUUUUUGUACCUAAAUUUUGUGUUCGUACCAAUUUCUUGUCUGUACCCAAAAAAUUUUCGUACCCAAAUUGUUAAGUACCCAAAUUUGUUCUUACCAAAAUUUUUGUUCAUACCAAUUUUUUUUUCUGGUACCCAAAUUUGUUCAAAUCCAUUUUUUUUUUCGUAUCCCAUUUUUUUUUUGUACCCAAAUUUUUGUUUGUACCCAAUUUUUUUUAACAUAACUUCUUCAUUUAUUCACCAAAUUAAUACUUAACAUCUCUUAUGACAACACGGUCUAUCUUGACCAUCCAUGUCCACAUUACCCAUCCCGGGGCCCCACGAACAUAGGCCUUGCCCACCCAAAAUUGCCUUUUAAUGUAACAUCUAUGCGGCCUGGGGAUACGCGGCCUCUGCCGCGCCAUUUCUAGUGUGGUGAUUGAAUUGCAUUUUUGUACAUUACAAUUUUUGUGUGGGACGCUCUGGUGUGUACAGUAGAGAACGAUGAUUAACCCUCUUCAUGUAAAAAUUGGUAUUUUGUCACAUUUGGUUCAGUGUUGCUCCAGAUGAGCUCAACAAGGAGAGUAAUGCAAUGUUUGAUUGUCAAGAAGCUAUUCUAACUGCUCCAAAGUCAUGCAAUGUUUGAUUGUCAAGAAGCUAUUCUAACUGCUCCAAAGUCAUGCAAUGUUUGAUUGUCAAGAAGCUAUUCUAACCACUCCAAAGUCAUGCAAUGUUUGAUUGUCAAGAAGCUAUUCUAACUGCUCCAAAGUCAUGCAAUGUUUGAUUGUCAAGAAGCUAUUCUAACUGCUCCAAAGUCAUGCAAUGUUUGAUUGUCAAGUAGCUAUUCUAACUGCUCCAAAGUCAUGCAAUGUUUGAUUGUCAAGAAGCUAUUCUAACCGCUCCAAAGUCAUGCAAUGUUUGAUUGUCAAGAAGCUAUUCUAACUGCUCAAAAGUCAUGCAACGUUUGAUUGUCAAGAAGCUAUUCUAACCGCUCCAAAGUCAUGCAAUGUUUGAUAGUCAAGAAGCUAUUCUAACCGCUCCAAAGUCAUGCAAGUUUGAUUGUCAAGGAGCUAUUCUAACUGCUCCAAAGUCUUGCAAUGUUUGAUUGUCAAGGAGCUAUUCUAACUGCCCCAAAGUCUUGCAAUGUUUGAUUGUCAAGAAGCUAUUCUAACUGCUCCAAAGUCUUGCAAUGUUUGAUUGUCAAGAAGCUAUUCUAACUGCUCCAAAGUCAUGCAAUGUUUGAUUGUCAAGAAGCUAUUCUAACUGCUCCAAAGUCAUGCAAUGUUUGAUUGUCAAGAAGCUAUUCUAACUGCUCCAAAGUCAUGCAAUGUUUGAUUGUCAAGGAGCUAUUCUAACUGCUCCAAAGUCAUGCAAUGUUUGAUUGUCAAGAAGCUAUUCUAACUGCUCCAAAGUCAUGCAAUGUUUGAUUGUCAAGAAGCUAUUCUAACUGCUCCAAAGUCAUGCAAUGUUUGAUUGUCAAGAAGCUAUUCUAACUGCUUUAAAGUCAUGCAAUGUUUGAUUGUCAAGAAGCUAUUCUAACUGCUCCAAAGUCAUGCAAUGUUUGAUUGUCAAGAAGCUAUUCUAACUGCUCCAAAGUAAUGCAAUGUUUGAUUGUCAAGAAGCUAUUCUAACCGCUCCAAAGUCAUGCAAUGUUUGAUUGUCAAGAAGCUAUUCUAACUGCUCCAAAGUCACGCAAUGUUUCAUUGCCUCAUUAUUGAACAGAGUAGAUAAUGACAAGAAUGCACAAAUGGUAGGAGCUUUGUUUGCAGCAUAUGGCAUAAGAACCAUGGUCACAUGAUGCAGGUCAGUGAUUGAACAUUUAGAUAUAGAAUAUUCAGUCAUCUCAAAUGAUAUUGUCCUGUAUUGUUUUGAUAGGCAAAAGAACAAAAUUAUCAGUAAAAAAUGAACAAUACAGAUUUCAUAACAAACGAUUUAAUAAAAACCUCCGAAUAUGUACAAUAUGAUAAAAUAUAACAGAUAUUUGGUUCAAUAUAUACAUUUGAAUAAUCAAUAACAAACAAACAUUCAUGUAUAACCCCAAAACAUUACAACUGAAAUUGAGCUCGUUUCAUGUAGUGAGAACAUGCAUAGAUAUGUUUUCUAAGUAAAACGCUUCAACACCAUACAAUAUAUAACAUUAAACUAUAGAAAAACAUUAACAGUAUAUGGCUUAAUAAAUCAUAUUAAUUGCAUGAAAUUUCAUUAAAGGUAAACUAGACAAUUUUGUACAAAAUCGAUACUGUACUGUUUAUUUUAAUCUUUUCAGUAUAUUAUUAUAAAAAUUAUGCUUUUGUUUGGAAAAAAUAUAAUAUUAUAUGCAAUGUGUGUUAUAUAAAGAAAUUUUCAUACAUA